GAUGAAGAACGCAGCGAAAUGCGAUAAGUAAUGUGAAUUGCAGAAUUCAGCGAAUCAUCGAAUCUUUGAACGCACCUUGCGCCCUUUGGCCAUUCCGAAGGGCAUGCCUGUUUGAGUAUCAUGAACACCUCAACUCUUUAUGGUUUUCCAUGAUGAGCUUGGACUUUGGGGGUUUUGCUGGCCUAUGGUCGGCUCCUCUAAAAUAAAUCAGCUUACCAGUGUUUGGUGGGUAUCAUGGGUGUGAUAACUAUCUACGCUUGUGGUUUUUCCGCCAGGUAACCUUCGACAGCGGAGGUUCACUGGAGCUCAUAGAUGUCUCUCCUCAGCGAGGACAGCCCUUUGAAUGUUUGAUCUCAAAUCAGGUAGGACUACCCGCUGAACUUAAGCAUAUCAAUAAGCGGAGGA
rnacentral:misc_RNA from 1 species